CUGGAAGAGGGCCAGACUAUUGGUACUAAAGCAGUGCUGGCCCCAACACAGCUCGCUGGGCCAGACGUUGAUGGGAAAUGGCUGACAGCAGGAUAAACAAGCAGCUCCCUUUUUGGUGAGCUUCAGGGGAAUCAGGUGGACAGAAUCAAGGCUUCAGGUAUGCUCUUCAGAGGCUCUGUGGAGUGGUGGGAGGCUGUAAAACAGCACUGGAGAUGGUUGUGGUUCUCCCCCAGCAAAAGCACCGGCAGGAAGAAAGGCAGAUUGGCAAACAGUGUGGGCCCACAGUGCGAGCCAGGGGAGAAGCCAUCAGGUGACACAUCAAGCCGUGAGAGGCAGCUGGUCAGGGACCCCUCAGUUCCCCACCGUCCUGCAGAGACAUGGGGGGCAGUGUCCGUGCCUCCCUCCCUCACCACCUGAGCUGCUCCACAAGAAAUUCUGAGCGCCACUGGGCAAGUAGAGGGAACCAAAUGCCUCAAGAUGGAGAAGAGUGCAAGGUCUAACUAGCAGUACUGUGGAAGAGCAACACAGACAAGAGGUGUAGAAUUAGCUGGGCAGGGUGUAUGGGUUCCUUCCGGUGCCUGCAUACCUGAGAAGAAGUCAUUCGUUGAGCUUAGUUUAGGUUUUAAGGCAGUUUUGGUGUUUGAGGCUUAUUUAGCACACAUAAGUCCAAGGUAGCAUCAGACAGAAUUAUAAACUUCAUGUGACUUUUCAAAACAACCCAGUGAGCCCAUUGUUAGCAAAUAGCAGUCAGCCGAGAUAAGCGGCCAUUCUAGGAGCAAAGGCACUUGUGCCAGGAAAACAAGAACAAGCACGAGCAAGAAGCAGGGCAAUGCAAUCCACAAACACAAUUCAUGCUUUACAGCUGUGAGACAAUGCUUCUUUUGCUUGGACCUCAGGCUCUGCAAACUGCAGCACAGAGGAGGGUAAGUGUGCAGUGGCCCCUAGAGAAGAGUGGUCAGUAAUGAAAUUGCACCCCACUUUACUUGCCCCUUUGUGUUCCUGGGUCACUGCCAGGCUGUCCCAAUCCUGCAACAUGUGGAAAGCCAGUGUGUUCAGAUGGAAUAGUAGGGGAUGCAACCUAAAGAGAUUACUAGUAAGAUUUUCCAGAAAAAGAAAAAUAACUAUUUUUUAAGCAUGAGCAGGGGUGGGGAGGGGUGGGGGGAAGAAAGUUUCUUUGUUUCUCAUUGGAAAGCUUUGCAAGCUAUUGACUUAUUGAGGAAAAUCAGGACAAUUGGGUACACAGCUUUGACUUCUGGUGAUUUCUGACACUUUCCUCGAAAGCCUAUCACUCCACACUGAGGGCCCCAGGAUUGACUGUUUUACAGAAGCUCUUAUGUAUUGAGGUCCUGUAUGAACUGGACCCAUGUAAGAUGGGGAGUGGUGACAAACGUUGGCUCAACCUCAAUUGUGAGAUUAUGGUUCAAGGUUAUUUUCUUAGAGAUAGUGAGUCUUCAGAAAACCUUUGAGUAAAGGCAAAUGAAAGGCUUGUGUCUAAAAACAGGCUUCCAAAAGUGGAAAUAGGACACAGGAAGUGGAGAGUCGGAAAACAAAACAAAACAGAUGAGCUGGAAUGAGAAGAGUAGAGAGAGAAGUAGAAAGACAGGGAGAGACUCUGUAAGGAAAGCUGUGAAGGAAAAGGAUUGCAGCCUCUUGGCUUUAUUUUCAGUUAGUGCCUCAUACAAUUCACGAGGUGAGGCUCCCACACAUUCUGGCCUGUUCUCCCCAAUUAUGGGGGUGGGGAGGUAAAUGAACUACACCCAGACUUCUUGCAGCUGUCACCUCAAUAUCAGGUAUCUGCGAGGUGGGGAGAGAGGUGGGAGGAUUGGUAAGGGGCUGUAUAAUUACUGGGAACUCCAGCCAAUGUAACACAUGGUUAUGUGGGCCUAUGUAGUUAGGUUUCACUAUCCCUAUUGACUGUGCCAGACCCUGAACUAAAUACUGGAGUGUCGAGAUCAAGAAGGCAUGAUUCCCGCCCUUAGGAGUGCACCAUCAAAGGAGGUGAGGAGUGCAUCUCCUCACAGGAGGAGACAGAUGAGUAAACUGAACAUUUUGAUUCAGUACGUUUUGGGAUACAGGUAGGAACCAGAGCUGCAGGGCCAGGGGAAGGGGGCACCUCCCCCAAAGGCAAAGGUCCUAUCCUCGGUCCCACAGAACAGCUUACAAGACUCCUCCUCAGGUGCAGCUGGUUCGGAGGGUACGGUCGUCUCCAGCUGUCUCCUACAUCGUCUCUAUUUUCUCACUGGCUCCUUCUAGUCUAGGUCUCUCCAAUCCUAUACACAUCGUUUCCAGCUCUGUUAUGCCUUCAGGCUACUGGCUGAGACUUUUUCUUUUACUGCUAAAGCAUAGCAUACAUUUUCCUGCAUUUCCUCCCUACCCUCUCAUUUUUCACCCACGCCUUGAUGUCAAGUUCCUCUCUGUACCACUUUAUCAUAAUCUCCCUCUUGAAGAAGAACCACCAGUGAUUUCCUCAUCACUAAAUCCAAUGAUCCUCAUUGAUGUUAUUAUACAGGGAGCUGACUGGCAACUACCACACUACAAGCUAAAACUCUCCCCUCUUUCACUUUCCCAGGCCUGUCUGCCCUUGUUCUUCCUGCAGUUCUCCUGUGCUUCCUUCAUUAGCACCAAUUCCCUUUCCCAUCUCAUAAGUGGGAGCGUCCCCCAGUGAACAGCCGCAGGGAGCGCACCUGCAUCCAGAGUUCCAGCCCUUCUCCAUGCUGAUGACACCCAAGUCUUUAUCUCUAGGUCUGAUCCUUUACCUUAUUUCGAGUCCAGAAUUUCUAAUCACGUACUGGUCAGGUUCACUUUCAUGGUCAUCUGUGUCUCUCAGGGUUCCUGGCAUAGUGCAUUGCAUAGAUAUGGAUACAAUAAUAUUAAGCUGAAUGAUGAGUGAACAAAUGAACGGAUAAAAUAUCCCAGUCUCCUGCAGAAAAUCCCACCUUGUUACCUCUGCCUUUCUUUCCUGACCAUGGUUUCCA
rnacentral:lncRNA from 1 species